UCAUAAAGACACUAUUGAUGCGAAAACAGUAACUGCCUCUUUCAAUGGAACACAGCCUAAAUGACGCGGGAUGACUUCGGAGCCAGGUCAGAGAAAGCAUUGCAGCUUCCUCCUGGCUCUCCUCUCUUUUCCACUUGGAAGCCCUGAGCCAACAGGAAAGCAGUCUGGUCAUGCUGGGGAAUACCAGGGAGGGGAGACAGGGAAAGGUGCCGGAAGUUGCUACCGCGACUCUCCCAGUAUUACCAGCCCAGCCACCAGACAUGUAAUCCAAGGAGGCUUUGCGACGCCCCAGCCGCAGUCUGACUGCAACCUGAGGAUGGACCCUGCCCGGUCACUGAUGCAAUGAAGUCUAGUCCCUCUGACAGAUGUGGCAAAGCAUUAUCAGGGUCAAAG